GAGCGAACGGGGAGGAGCCCAGAGCCUGAAUCAGUGUGUGUGUUAGUGGAAGCGUCUGGAAAGGCGCGCGAUACAGGGUGACAGCCCCGUACACAAAAAUGCACAUGCUGUGAGCUCGAUGAGUAGGGCGGGACACGUGGUAUCCUGUCUGAAUAUGGGGGGACCAUCCUCCAAGGCUAAAUACUCCUGACUGACCGAUAGUGAACCAGUACCGUGAGGGAAAGGCGAAAAGAACCCCGGCGAGGGGAGUGAAAAAGAACCUGAAACCGUGUACGUACAAGCAGUGGGAGCACAGAGCAAUCUGUGUGACUGCGUACCUUUUGUAUAAUGGGUCAGCGACUUAUAUUCUGUAGCAAGGUUAACCGAAUAGGGGAGCCGAAGGGAAACCGAGUCUUAACUGGGCGUUAAGUUGCAGGGUAUAGACCCGAAACCCGGUGAUCUAGCCAUGGGCAGGUUGAAGGUUGGGUAACACUAACUGGAGGACCGAACCGACUAAUGUUGAAAAAUUAGCGGAUGACUUGUGGCUGGGGGUGAAAGGCCAAUCAAACCGGGAGAUAGCUGGUUCUCCCCGAAAGCUAUUUAGGUAGCGCCUCGUGAAUUCAUCUCCGGGGGUAGAGCACUGUUUCGGCAAGGGGGUCAUCCCGACUUACCAACCCGAUGCAAACUGCGAAUACCGGAGAAUGUUAUCACGGGAGACACACGGCGGGUGCUAACGUCCGUCGUGAAGAGGGAAACAACCCAGACCGCCAGCUAAGGUCCCAAAGUCAUGGUUAAGUGGGAAACGAUGUGGGAAGGCCCAGACAGCCAGGAUGUUGGCUUAGAAGCAGCCAUCAUUUAAAGAAAGCGUAAUAGCUCACUGGUCGAGUCGGCCUGCGCGGAAGAUGUAACGGGGCUAAACCAUGCACCGAAGCUGCGGCAGCGACACUAUGUGUUGUUGGGUAGGGGAGCGUUCUGUAAGCCUGUGAAGGUGUGCUGUGAGGCAUGCUGGAGGUAUCAGAAGUGCGAAUGCUGACAUAAGUAACGAUAAAGCGGGUGAAAAGCCCGCUCGCCGGAAGACCAAGGGUUCCUGUCCAACGUUAAUCGGGGCAGGGUGAGUCGACCCCUAAGGCGAGGCCGAAAGGCGUAGUCGAUGGGAAACAGGUUAAUAUUCCUGUACUUGGUGUUACUGCGAAGGGGGGACGGAGAAGGCUAUGUUGGCCGGGCGACGGUUGUCCCGGUUUAAGCGUGUAGGCUGGUUUUCCAGGCAAAUCCGGAAAAUCAAGGCUGAGGCGUGAUGACGAGGCACUACGGUGCUGAAGCAACAAAUGCCCUGCUUCCAGGAAAAGCCUCUAAGCAUCAGGUAACAUCAAAUCGUACCCCAAACCGACACAGGUGGUCAGGUAGAGAAUACCAAGGCGCUUGAGAGAACUCGGGUGAAGGAACUAGGCAAAAUGGUGCCGUAACUUCGGGAGAAGGCACGCUGAUAUGUAGGUGAAGCGACUUGCUCGUGGAGCUGAAAUCAGUCGAAGAUACCAGCUGGCUGCAACUGUUUAUUAAAAACACAGCACUGUGCAAACACGAAAGUGGACGUAUACGGUGUGACGCCUGCCCGGUGCCGGAAGGUUAAUUGAUGGGGUUAGCGCAAGCGAAGCUCUUGAUCGAAGCCCCGGUAAACGGCGGCCGUAACUAUAACGGUCCUAAGGUAGCGAAAUUCCUUGUCGGGUAAGUUCCGACCUGCACGAAUGGCGUAAUGAUGGCCAGGCUGUCUCCACCCGAGACUCAGUGAAAUUGAACUCGCUGUGAAGAUGCAGUGUACCCGCGGCAAGACGGAAAGACCCCGUGAACCUUUACUAUAGCUUGACACUGAACAUUGAGCCUUGAUGUGUAGGAUAGGUGGGAGGCUUGGAAGUGUGGACGCCAGUCUGCAUGGAGCCGACCUUGAAAUACCACCCUUUAAUGUUUGAUGUUCUAACGUUGACCCGUAAUCCGGGUUGCGGACAGUGUCUGGUGGGUAGUUUGACUGGGGCGGUCUCCUCCUAAAGAGUAACGGAGGAGCACGAAGGUUGGCUAAUCCUGGUCGGACAUCAGGAGGUUAGUGCAAUGGCAUAAGCCAGCUUGACUGCGAGCGUGACGGCGCGAGCAGGUGCGAAAGCAGGUCAUAGUGAUCCGGUGGUUCUGAAUGGAAGGGCCAUCGCUCAACGGAUAAAAGGUACUCCGGGGAUAACAGGCUGAUACCGCCCAAGAGUUCAUAUCGACGGCGGUGUUUGGCACCUCGAUGUCGGCUCAUCACAUCCUGGGGCUGAAGUAGGUCCCAAGGGUAUGGCUGUUCGCCAUUUAAAGUGGUACGCGAGCUGGGUUUAGAACGUCGUGAGACAGUUCGGUCCCUAUCUGCCGUGGGCGCUGGAGAACUGAGGGGGGCUGCUCCUAGUACGAGAGGACCGGAGUGGACGCAUCACUGGUGUUCGGGUUGUCAUGCCAAUGGCACUGCCCGGUAGCUAAAUGCGGAAGAGAUAAGUGCUGAAAGCAUCUAAGCACGAAACUUGCCCCGAGAUGAGUUCUCCCUGACUCCUUGAGAGUCCUGAAGGAACGUUGAAGACGACGACGUUGAUAGGCCGGGUGUGUAAGCGCAGCGAUGCGUUGAGCUAACCGGUACUAAUGAACCGUGAGGCUUAACCUUACAACGC
rnacentral:rRNA from 1 species